rnacentral:rRNA from 1 species
UUAACACAUGCAAGUCGAGGGGUAACAGAUCUUCGGAUGCUGACGACCGGCGAACGGGUGAGUAACACGUAUGCAACUUACCCAUAACUCGGGAAUAGCCCAAAGAAAUUUGGAUUAAUACCCAAUAAUACAGGCGUACCGCAUGGUAUUCUUCGUUAAAGAAUAAUCGGUUAUGGAUAGGCAUGCGUUCUAUUAGGUAGUUGGUGAGGUAACGGCUCACCAAGCCGACGAUGGAUAGGGGAACUGAGAGGUUGUCCCCCCACACUGGUACUGAGACACGGACCAGACUCCUACGGGAGGCAGCAGUGAGGAAUAUUGGUCAAUGGACGAAAGUCUGAACCAGCCAAAUCGCGUGAAGGAAGAAGGUAUUAUGUAUCGUAAACUUCUUUUGUAAGAGAGUAAAGUGCACUACGUGUAGUGUAUUGCAAGUACCUUACGAAUAAGCAUCGGCUAAUUCCGUGCCAGCAGCCGCGGUAAUACGGAAGAUGCAAGUGUUAUCCGGAUUUAUUGGGUUUAAAGGGUGCGUAGGUGGUCUAAUAAGUCAGUGGUGAAAUCUCUUUGCUUAACAAGGAAAUUGCCAUUGAAACUGUUAGACUUGAGAAUGGACGAGGUAGGCGGAAUUCGUAGUGUAGCGGUGAAAUGCAUAGAUAUUACGAAGAACUCCAAUAGUGUAGACUGCUUACCAGACCAUAUCUGACACUAAGGCACGAAAGUGUGGGUAUCAAACAGGAUUAGAUACCCUGGUAGUCCACACAGUAAACGAUGAAUACUAACUGUUUGCGAUAUACAGCAAGUGGUCGAGCGAAAGCGUUAAGUAUUCCACCUGGGAAGUAUGCCGCACGUGAAUCAAGAUGCGGGUGGCGGGGGCCCGCACAAGCGGAGGACAUGUGGUUUAAUUCGAUAAUACGCGAGGAACCUUA